rnacentral:rRNA from 1 species
UACGUAGGGUGCGAGCGUUAAUCGGAAUUACUGGGCGUAAAGCGUGCGCAGGCGGUUCGUCGUGUCCGAUGUGAAAGCCCCGGGCUCAACCUGGGAAUGGCAUUGGAAACUGGCGGACUCGAGUGUGGCAGAGGGGGGUGGAAUUCCGCGUGUAGCAGUGAAAUGCGUAGAGAUGCGGAGGAACACCGAUGGCGAAGGCAGCCGCCUGGGCUAACACUGACGCUCAGGCACGAAAGCGUGGGGAGCAAACAGG